UUACGGCCACAUCACGUUGAAACAUUGGUUCCCGUACAAUCACCGAAGUUAAACAACGCUGAGCCUGGUCAAUACCUAGACUGGUGACCGCUUGGGAAGACCAGGUGUU